UACAGAGGCCUCAAGCGUUGUUCGGAUUCAUUGGGCGUAAAGGGUGCGCAGGCGGUCGGGUAAGUCGGAUGUGAAAUCCUGGGGCUCAACCUCAGAACUGCAUUCGAUACUGCCUGGCUGGAGGAUUGGAGAGGAGAGUGGAAUUCACGGUGUAGCAGUGAAAUGCGUAGAGAUCGUGAGGAAGACCAACGGCGAAGGCAGCUCUCUGGACAAUUCCUGACGCUGAGGCACGAAGGCCAGGGGAGCAAACGGG
rnacentral:rRNA from 1 species